UCGUUUUGUUUUGCCAUCUUAAUUCACGUGUCAUGGACACAGGGUAUUUAGUAGCCCUCACUACCCUCCCUCCCAUUUUAACCCUCUCCAGCUCUCUCUUAAAUUAACAAAUUCACAGCUCAAGAAGAGGAAUGGCUACAGCAGUUGCUGGUUUCUCCUUGAAUAAACAAAUCCCCCAUCAACGCAUUAUAGAAGAGGCAACAGAUUUCGCAAACAAAUCGCCACCUCACUGCAAACUUCACGAACAGAUAAUGUGUGCAGGUGAGACAUGGAGAUAAAGUUCAUCAGAAGGCAGCCACUUUCGCUCUCUAGGAAUCAAGAUGAAACAGCUCCACGAGCAGACAAGCCCGAACCGCAGGAGAGAUGAGGAAGGAAUUCGCAACCCCACUCUCUUUAACACCAUUAACAACCAACGAAACUCUCUCUCUAGGGUAAUUGCAGUCUCAUAGUUCGAAUGCAGCAGGACCGUCUUUGAAGAAUUUAUAGGCAUGAUUGUACUGCCCCUUGUAACUUAUGAUCAAAUGCAACAUUGUAAUUUUUGUUCUAUCAAGAGAUGUAUAUAUCUAGUCCUUUAUGAUAAUAAUUGUUAUGAGUAGACUUUGCACAAAUUAAAAGAAAUGGAAAAAUCUGUUUUA